CCGUCCCGACAGCGCCGCUGUUGGCGCCCAGGCCUGAGUAGUUGCCUCCGAGCGCAUCGAUGCUGCCCGUCGAUCGAUCUUCGAGUAGCUGAUGCUCUCAGGGCUCCGGAAGCUCAAAACUGGAGAGCGUUAAAAUUUGCGGCAUGAACUGGACAGAUGGCUGAUGGGUAAUCACUGUACUCAUAUGACUGGACUAAUGAAUCACGUGCUAUAAAAGUCUCAGGUGAUAAGAGCAUUGUCUGGAAUGAAUGUACCAGAUCCUCAAGGAUUCAUUGUUGGCUUCUGAAGAAAUGGUGACUUUGCAAAUAUUAUUGCAGAAUUAAAGGCAUUCCUAAGAAUGAUUGUAGCAGCUUGAUAUUCAGGGGAGAUGCUGCACAGAUUUCAGAAAACACAUUUUAACAUCUAAGUAUUUGUGGGAUCAAGUAAAAAUAAGCCACUUUCCGGGGCUAAGUUUCCUCUCCUGUAAACCUAAAGAGAUGGAUGGCAUAACAGAAAAAAAAGUCCUACAACGGAUUUAUGAAGCAGACAUGGGCAUUGAGGUCUGGUCUUUCUAUCCAUGAAGACCUCAAAGAACGGACAACUGGUAGUAUUGUCUGCCAUAAACAGAUUCACAGAAGAAAGACUUGAGCAUCUGGAGACACUUCCAGAUGGUCACCUUUUCUAAAUCCCGCAUCUGUGACCCAGAGAGCAGUGCCAACCUUGCACGGCAACUCACACCUGUAAUCUCAGCACGAAGGAUGCUGAGACAGGAGGAUGCAAGUUGAGGACUGGCCUGAGUGAAAGAAAACAAAACAAAACAGAAAGCAAUUCGGAUUCAAUAUAGUAGAUUUAAGCUUUCUCUUGGUGUUGGAGAAGGUGUUAACCCAGGCAGUAGGUCACAUUUGGAACUGAAAUUCCACCCUUCAGAGCAUUCCACAGUAAUGGCUCCCCUCACAGCAGGAAUCUGUAUAGACGGAGCCCAACAUUAAUUCCACUCAUCAGGCUUUCUCAUAUUGCUGCUCCAAUCUUGGAUUUACUAGACCAAUGCUGCCGAAGACAAUAAAAUUCCCCUUUCCCUCCUUGGCUCCCAUGUGCUUUGACACUUGGUCUAAUCACAAAGACUGGGUUAUUGGUGACCAUACACAAAACAGAGCAGCCACACAAAUCAUGCUUUACUGCUGCAAUGUGGAAAUACCAAGGUUAAACGGUAAAUGUGGUGCAACUGUAUUGAUUAAUUGGUGGAGGAAAGGUCAAACUAAUCUUUAUCUUGCCUGAAAGAUUUGAGUUCUACAUGGCAGAUGUGUUGAAACGGUUUCUGUAGAAAAAGAUAAAAGAAAAUUGAACGCUUCAUGCAUAACAAGUAGGAGAAAUUUUUGCUAAACUAUCACUCAGAUAAAGGUCAGUAAAGGAGCUCUCAUGCAAAGGAAAUUGGGAAAUAAUAUCCAACAGUCUGAGCGUGAUUCAAACACCAAAAUGUUCAAGGGGGGCAAGUUAUUUAGAUUUCCUUUUAUUUGUAGUACAAUUUAUUGGAAACAUCUUCACCAAUGAAACAACCGGCAAAGGAUGACAGGUUAAGCAGUCACAUUGGAUUAGAAGAGCCCCAGACCCCAGGAGACCAGAAACAGAGUCCCAGUCCCCAGGAAACAGGAAGCCUGAAGCAGAGUUGUACUUUUCUGCUUCCAGGAGGGCCGGGAUCGCUCACAGCAGUAGACCUGACGCUGCUGCUCUCCAGAUGUCAAAGAGACACUGCCACUCAGAAGAUGGCGGUAUCACCAGGGCAUGAUGGGUGGGCAAAACCACCCCUUACUCCGCCCAACCUUCCUUCUUUUGGCCCAAGUGAAAUAAUAAAAGCUUGGUAGCUGAAGUGUAGAAUCAAUCCUGAGGAAAUAGAGAGGCACAAAUGGAAAAGGCUAAAGACCGAAUCCUUGCGUAGAGAAGGAAAAACGUCUAGGCAGUGUUAAGCUGAAUGGCUGUGUUGGCUGCCGGAAAGAAGGGAUGCACUACAGGGCAGAAUGGUUAUUAGAUGUGAGAGCUGGAGAUGGUUUUUCUCCUUCCACUUGUGUCUGAAAGGCUGAAAGUGUCUGAGGCUGGCAAGGCUAGACUUUGUUGUCGUCACAGCUUCAGGGCUUACUAUGAUAAAAGCUUACUUUUGGCCCCUGUGAGCACCUGUACAGUUAGAAAUUCUUCUUUCUUUGACAUCUGGGACACGUGCACCUGUUACUGCUGUUGACAUCAGCUGAGUGCUGUCACUUGGCCUUUGGCAAACUGCAAGGAGGUCUUGGAAACAUGCCAUAAAAAAGUGGCAUGUCUAGGUUUACCAUAGAACACUAGGGAUUUGGGCUUUCAUAAGGAAAAAAUUCCAACUGCAUUGUUAAAUAUCCGGGGGAGUUACCAGCGGAAUUUUGGAGAACUUUAUUACAUUUUCUUGUUGACACUGGGGACCCAAUCUUUCUCUGAAUUUGACUCUGUACACUUUAUACUUUUAUAAGUGUUUAUCUAUGUAAGCUACCUGUCUGGAACCAUUUUCUUAUACAACAGUUUAUCUUUUCACUUACGGACCAUGGAUACUUUUUUUUUUAUGUGAAGGAAGCAAAAUUGAAAGAACAAUAAACAAAAGCAGAAAAAGAAUGG